rnacentral:rRNA from 1 species
UAGGGAAUCUUCCACAAUGGACGCAAGUCUGAUGGAGCAACGCCGCGUGAGUGAAGAAGGGUUUCGGCUCGUAAAGCUCUGUUGUUAAAGAAGAACGUGGGUAAGAGUAACUGUUUACCCAGUGACGGUAUUUAACCAGGAAGCCACGGCUAACUACGUGCCAC